rnacentral:rRNA from 1 species
CCCUUAGAUGUUCUGAGCCGCACGCGUGCUACACUGAGUGGAUCAGCGGGUCAGGUUGCGCGAAAGUGUUUCCUAAUCUUUAAAUCCGCUCGUGAUGGGGAUUGACGGUUGCAAUUUUCCGUCAUGAACGAGGAAUACCUUGUAAGCGCGGGUCAUCAUCCCGCGCUGAAUACGUCCCUGCCCUUUGUACACACCGCCCGUCGCUCCUACCGAUUGAGUGGUCCGGUGAGGCUUUGGGAUCUGAGCGGAAAGAGCGUUUCGCUGUUUCUGCCCGGAAAACUCAGUCGAACCUUAUCAUUUAGAGGAAGGAGAAGUCGUAACA